ensembl:miRNA
AGCUGUGGUGCAUUGUAGUUGCAUUGCACGUCCGGCUGAACACAGUGCAAUGGAUCUGCUCUGCAGUACAGA